rnacentral:rRNA from 1 species
GAUGAACGCUAGCGGCAGGCCUAAUACAUGCAAGACGAACGGUAAGUUGAGUAGCAAUACUUGACCUAGAGUGUCGCACGGGUGCGUAACACGUAUGCAACCUACCCAUAACAGGAGGAUAGCUCCCCGAAAGGGGAAUUAACCCUCCAUAGUAUAAUUGGAUGGCAUCAUUUGAUUAUUAAAACUGAGGUGGUUAUGGAUGGGCAUGCGUCUGAUUAGUUAGUUGGCGGGGUAACGGCCCACCAAGACGAUGAUCAGUAGGGGAACUGAGAGGUUGAUCCCCCACACUGGCACUGAGGUACGGGCCAGACUCCUACGGGAGGCAGCAGUAGGGAAUAUUGGUCAAUGGAUGGAAGUCUGAACCAGCCAUGCCGCGUGCAGGAAGAAGGCCUUAUGGGUUGUAAACUGCUUUUGCCAGGGGAUAAAAUAGCUGUGCGCAGCGAAUUGCAGGUACCUGGUGAAUAAGCCACGGCUAACUACGUGCCAGCCGCCGCUGUAACAC